UCCGUAGGCGGUGUGGCAAGUCGGUAGUGAAAUCUCUCAGCUUAACUGAGAGGCUGCUGCCGAAACUGCCAUGCUCGAGUGCGAGAGAGGCGAGUGGAAUUGCGGGUGUAGCGGUGAAAUGCGUAGAUAUCCGCAGGAACAUCCGAGGCGAAAGCGGCUCGCUGGAUCGCAACUGACGCUGAGGGACGAAAGCUAGGGGAGCAAACAGGAUUAGAUACCCUGGUAGUCCUAGCCCUAAACCAUCAGGACUUGGGGUUUGCCCUGUACGGGGCAAGUCCCGGAGCUAACGCGUUAAGUCCUGCGCCUGGGGAGUACGGUCGCAAGGCUGAA
rnacentral:rRNA from 1 species